AAGUGGUGCUACCACUGACAAAAACAUAGACUUCCUUCCUCUCUUUCCUCCAUCAUCUAAGAAGUGUACUUCCUUGUUUUCUUCAGGACAGCAAGCUCCUAGAGAUCUAGACGUCGCAUAUGCUACCCAGAAUAGAUAGGUAGGCUUAAAGCCCUUCUAAAGAAGACUUCUCUUGUAAACUGCUUACACUUCUGCUUGGACCACACUGACCACACUGACAUAUUCACACUUAGUUCUAAGGGAGCCUGAGACGUGCUGCUGUGUGGAACUGUCUUUUAGAAACAAAGCAAGUUCCUUAAAUGAGCUUAUACAUGGUCUUAGCCUUAAACCCCAAGUUUCCCUGAACAGAUUAGCCAGGCUAGGUAGUUACUAUUGUUGUUGAGAUCCGACGUGAAUCAGAUCUUUGAUGUCACCAUGUAGAACAUGCCAGUGGCAAGCACAGAUCUUGUCACAAUAAAUGUGGAUGAAGAGGCCAUGACUAGACAUCUGUAUGGCAGGUUAUACCAGCACACAGGAAGCAUGCCUGCUUCCCACAGCACAACAGCACUGGCAGGAUCAUUCCUGGUUGCCAGUCGUGGAGACAGGCAGAUGACGUACAGGCCCUGCUGUAAUCCUUAGAUUGCCUGCCCCUAACAUAGCUUGUUCCUUGGUGGCUUGGUAAAUCCAUAUUCUUCCUACCUGUUAUUUCCCACCUAAGUCAGAGUACGGUAUACAAUUUUGAAGACUCUCGGAAUCAACUUCUUAUUUAUUCUAUAGCUAGAGGUCAGGGGACCGGCACGCCCCCUAUGAUCUCAGCAGAGAACUUCUCUUAUUAUUCAUUCUAUUUAUAGAGGAUGAAAACUCAAGCUUCUAAGUACUUGGGCAUGUAUUUAUGCACUGUAGCCCAGAGAUGCCAUAAAUCUUUGUCAGUGAACCCUCACUACCUUGCUACUGCAUCAUCUGCCCCAGUGGCUUAGGUUAGGGAGACAUGGUCCACACCCAUAUCACCCACAGGGGUCUUUACUUGUGUGUGUGUGUGUGUGUGUGUGUGUGCGUGUGUGUGUGUUUGUGUAUUAAAUGAAGUGAAGAGAGUGCUUAUCUGUUCAUGACAGGAAGCAGUUUGUGUGUGUGUCUAUGUAUGGUGCUUCACAUUAUAUAUUAGUUUAGCCUCUUAAUGUGAUUUUCCUAGGUCACAAAUCCAUACAGAAUGUCUGACAGCAUAGUGUGCCCUGACACUUGUGUUGCAGGAUUGUGAGGACGACCACAUUACUCAUAGGUGAGCCCUCUAGUGUCUCCGGAAUGUCAGGAGCAGCUUUACGGCGCUGCCCACACAACCACAUAUUUUAUUCAGACCACAGAUGUUUGCCCUUAUAAUUUAGUUGUCUUUGUUUGUUAUGACAUGAUUCUUUCUUCCCCUGCUUUCCUUGCCUUUAUAGUUUGAUUGGAAUAUGUCUAAAUAGCUAUAGUCCUCCUACAUGAAAGAGACUAUUGGUUGUGGCAACUUUGGCUGAGGUCUGUGCAUGGUAUUCAGAGGCAGAGUGAAAAGUUACCAGGUAGGAAGCAUUUUUCAUAUCUACAUGAGAUACUUAGGUGAGUGGGUUUCUUUAUGAUUUCUGAAACUCCUGUCUGUGUUUAUUAUAGCAACAUUAACAGUGAGAUCUGAAGCCACUGAUCUACUCAUCCAAGGGUUUCUUUCAAUCUUGGAAAUUGUCGUCACUGUAAUUCUCUCCUGAAUUAGUCUUCUUCCUUCGAGAGAAGUUCCUUCCUGUCCAGUUCCAGAUUCAAAUCCUCUUUCAGCUCUGCAGCCUUAGCAGACCAGUGACUUCAACCAGCAUUGCAUAUGUGGCCAUCAGCCAUAUAGGAACAUACGACUCCACUCUCAGUAUCAGAGGGAUGACACUGCAGAUGAUUCCUUUACGAAAGAUGGAAAUAGAGUAAAAGGUGCACAUAUGGCCCCAUUACUAAUUCUAGCCUGGCAACAUUAAAUGUUAUUUUUUUUUAAAUUUGAUUGUGUGUGUGUGUGUGUGUAGGUGAAUGUAUUGAUUACUUAAGCAUUAGAGCAAGCAUCACUUCUUCCCUACUAAGAAAAAUGAGUAUUGCUCCAGUUUGUUUUGGAAGCUUGGACCAGGAAGCGAGGACUCUGCUUCAUCGAUGCAGCUGAUUGGCUGCAGCUACAUGGCUCUUCUCUGAUGCCAGAUACAAGAGAGAGAAUGGCAGGUAGUUGUUCAGCACGAGUCACCUAGCGGAGCAGAGGCAGGCAGUGGGCACUUGUGAUGCCCUGUGUGUCCAGAUCUCUUCUCAUGACUUGGCACAUGUCAGCUCAAGAUGGCAAUCCUGGAAGACAGAUGAGAUGCACCCACGUUUGCAGCCCAGGAAACAGAUGGGGCUCUGAAGGGUGAACCGAUAUACCUACAGUCAGGUGGCUGGCAGGGCAGAGGCACCGGGAUGUAACUCAGGUCUGUCUAGUGAUAAAACCAUCAAGUGUCUCCAGGGUAUCAUGGGAACUCUCACUCUGUCAAGCUGGGAAAUGCUUCUAGAAAUGUCACCAUGUGCUAACAGAGCUAGUGGCUGCCUUCUGUCCUCUUGGAUGCUUCUAACUUGUUUGAAUAAAUCAAAAGACAUUUCUAGGUGUAUCUUGUGCCCUUAGCAAAGUUCUGAAUGUGUUGGGAGGGACAGAAGACAGUAAAACUAUGGUCCUGGCCUCUGGACGUGUGACUGUCCACAAGCAGUAAUAAAGCAAUGUGUGGAGGAACCAUUGGCCAUUGUCGAGUGUCAAUAAAAAGCAGGGACCAGGGUUACAACAUUCACACAAGCUAUCUAGAAACAGAAUGGGGAGUGGAGUCUGUGAGAAGCUGAGGAGAGCCUCCAGGAUGGCUCUGUUGUGGCCAAGAGGAUGGCUGCAAACAGGAGCUCAGAGGGACGGCUGGACAGAGAGGCAGCUGGAGAAGUUGAGGUGUCCACCCCCAUCUCCCAAACAUCUGCGUUUCCUCACUUCCUGUCUUAUUCAGGUGCAGCCAUUAUCAUUGCUCCUUCAUGUUUCACAGAUAAAGGGUACCACAAUGGCACCAUUCAUGGCAUAUACUGUGGCCCACGAGGGGCUCUUGAGAAAAUGAGACAUUAGAGCUAAAUGUAACUGAGCAGAACAACUUCAAGGUCACACAGCUAGUGAAAACCCACCUUCCAAGUUCCAAGUUUGGAUACCAAUAAUUUAAGAGCUUUCAGAACUUGGUCUUCCCCAUUAGUGUGUUCUAGUUUAUAAACAUGCUGAAUUCCCGAAAAUGUCUUUUGAUUUCUUUUCUUUAACCUCCACCCCCAACUGUAACCAGUUUUCUGUAAAAGUCAUAAAGCUAGAUUCCAAGUUCCAACCAUAGAUAGAUGCCUAUUGUAAAAUAGAAAUUAGUUUCAUUGUGAUGUGCUUAAACUGUGGUCACAAAAUAGUUCCCAAUGGCUGCAGUAUAUCCUGAAGCAGGGCUGCCCAGAGAAGUUGUGCGUUCCAGGAAAAAGAAACUGGGGACACCUUUGUUCAAAUCACACUGGGCCAAUGAGAUGACUUGGCAAAUAAAAAA
rnacentral:lncRNA from 1 species